rnacentral:misc_RNA from 1 species
AAAGUCGUAACAAGGUUUCCGUAGGUGAACCUGCGGAAGGAUCAUUAUUGAAUCCUCAGGAUGUUGCUGGCCUCUCGGGGCAUGUGCACUCCAUAUAUUCAACCCACCUGUGAACACACUGUAGGCCUUGGACCGUAAAAAAGUCCCUGUGUCUAUGUUUUUAUACACCCUUUUAUAAAUUGUUUGUAGAAUGUCUAAUAGUAGGCCUUCAAUGGUCGAAAUUUAAUACAACUUUCAACAAUGGAUCUCUUGGUUCUC